GCCAAUGGAGACGCAGGAUCGGCCGGCGGCCAUCUGGCGGCCCAAUGGACGCCGCCGAGGGCCUGACCGAGUGGAGGAAGCGAGGGGGCAACAAAGGGCCUUGUAGUGGUUGACGAGAUCAUCGGGGUGCGAGCCGCGCGGCCCGGUGGCGCCGGUACCGUCUUCGGAACGAUCAUCGUCCAGGCGCUUCCCCGCCAACGUCACCUACGAGGACGAGGAGCUCUGAAGCGUUUCCUAGUCAUGCCUAAGGAGCCAAUUAUCAGGUGGCCUGAAGCAGAAGAUUCUGGUGAAUCUCUUCUUGGGCAUUU